rnacentral:ribozyme from 1 species
AAAAGAGAGAAAGAGAGAAAGAGUCAUCAAGGAAGGAAGCUGUGGAAGGAACUAAUUAUUGAGUUCAUUCAGUCGCUUGGUAAUUUAUUUUUUAUUUCUAUUUAUUUGAUUUUUUUUCUUGUGAUUUUUUCAUUUUCACUAUAAGAGAAAAAAGGGAGGAAAGAUAUUGUGUAAACAGAAAGUUAGGAUAGGCUAAUG